AGAGCUUUAAUGAGACACAAAGGUAUUCAUAUCUCAAGGUGGUCAAGUGAUACAGCAAGACAUCCACGUCAGCAAGACUCGACGUCCUGUGGGGUGUUUGUCUGCAAGUUUGCAGAGCUUCUCCUAAACGGCCAGGUGCUGGAUUUCAGUGGUGAUGAGGCCAGUAUUACGCAGUUUAGAUGGGAAAUAGCUUUGAGACUGGUCACUGCUUCAGACAACCUGUCAGAACUUUGCAGAACAUGUGGGAAUGCAUGCCGAAGUCCAGGAAGAACAAAGGAUGGGCAGGAUGACUGGAUCCAGUGUACAUCAUGCAGUCUGUGGUUCCACUGGAUAUGUGUUGCCAGACCACCACUGGACCAAGGCUACUUUUGUCCAGCCUGUACCCUUUAGGAGCAGCAUCAGGAGGAGGGUGGAAAGUCUUAUCACAGUUGGACCAUGUGUCCUUUUACAAUACUCUAACUGCACUGGAAGCCUUUUUGUCUCCACAGGUCCAGGAGACAUGACAGCUCCAGACGAAGAAAAGCUCAGGUAAGGGUGUAAGACCCUCGAGUGGGUGUGGCUGAAGGUCAUCAAAAGGAAGUGGAUGGAACCACGUUGGGCAGGUCCAUAUCAGGUUGAAAAAGCAACGACAUUUGCUGUAAGAAUCAUAUAUUCAUGAAAAAUCAUAUUCAUAUAAUCAAUUGUGUUUGACAUUAUAUACUGCAAAAAUGUGGAUGUAUCUUACAGAUAGAUUGCUUUGGAUACGGCUGCUUUGCUCUGCUUGAUAUGAUCUCUCCUUAUAGUGCUCUCUGUUCUGUGUCACCUGGAGCCGAGGGGGGAGAGUGGAGGCACACCACCCACACCAGAGGAGGACACACCUUCAUUUUUUAGCAAAAUCUGUCAGAAUAUAAAAAAGGGUUCAAGGGAAAUGAGACUGGUCCAGACUUCAUGACCUGAAACCAGUCUUCUGUGUAUCAGGGACAUGUAGAGUGAACCCAGAGAUCUCUGUAACUGCACAUUUCUUGACGUAUUGUAAUAUAAGUAUGUUAAA